rnacentral:rRNA from 1 species
UACGUAGGGUGCAAGCGUUGUCCGGAAUUAUUGGGCGUAAAGAGCUCGUAGGCGGCCUGUCGCGUCGGAUGUGAAAGCCCGGGGCUUAACCCCGGGUCUGCAUUCGAUACGGGCAGGCUAGAGUGUGGUAGGGGAGAUCGGAAUUCCUGGUGUAGCGGUGAAAUGCGCAGAUAUCAGGAGGAACACCGGUGGCGAAGGCGGAUCUCUGGGCCAUUACUGACGCUGAGGCGCGAAAGCCAGGGGAGCAAACGGG